GAGUGCGACCAUACCAGCAGUAAUGCACCUGAUCCCAUCAGAACACUAUAGUGAAGCGUGCUUAGGCAAGAGUAGUACUAGGAUGGGUGACCUCCUGGGAAGUCCUCGUGUUACACCCC
rfam:Beta vulgaris subsp. vulgaris Bvchr4_un.sca029.con0004.1, whole genome shotgun sequence.